rfam:Schistosoma curassoni strain Dakar, Senegal genome assembly, scaffold: SCTD_scaffold0006467
AUCCAGCUGACGAGUCCUAAUGGGGCGAAACACGCGACCUGGAU